CCGAGCCCCUCCCCAUGCAAAUCCCCCAGCCCGGGCGGCCAUAAAAGCGCCGGGACUCCGCCGGGGAAGCAGCAACCGGCUCCGCAACCAUGAGCCCAAGCAUCUCCUCCCUCCUGCUCCUGGCCGCCCUGCCAGGGCUGAUGGCGGCCGUGACGUUGGACGAGUCCGGGGGCGGCCUCCAGGCGCCCGGAGGAGGGAUCACCCUCGUCUGCAAGGCCUCCGGCUUCACCUUCAGCAGUUAUGGCAUGAACUGGGUGCGACAGGCGCCCGGCAAGGCGCUGGAGAGCAUCGCAGCUAUUAGCAGCGAUGGUAGAUACCCAGGCUACGCGUCGGCGGUGAAGGGCCGUGCCACCAUCUCGAGGGACAACGGGCAGAGCACAGUGCGGCUGCAGCUGAACAGCCUCAAGGCCGAAGACACCGCCACCUACUACUGCGCGAAAGGUGCUGGUCACGGUGACGCCGACCCGCCGCGCCGCUGGCACAAAACCCGCUGGGGGCGAAGCGGUGAAGCGCAACAAGAGGUUGAGGCAAGAAAAGCGGAAAAAGAGCAAAAAAAAAAAAAAAAACCUGUCAAAAAUGUUGUCAACCGUGGUUCGGUUUCAUCCUCGGAGGCCAAAUUUCGUCCGCUGCGGUGGAAUUUUGUCAACCGUGGGCGGAUUUCGUCAACUGCGGUGGUGGAAUUUUGUCGACCGUGGCAGAAUUUUGUCAACCGUGGCUGA